UUUCCCACUCUUCCCGCCCUUCUCCGCACUCGUCCCGCCCCUUUUCCCGCCCUUUUCGCCCCCUCAGGGCAGGAAAGGCGUUUCCUAUCCCCUCGACCAGUCCUGAUCCCUUUCCCGCCCCGCACUGACGGGAUAUCCCUGCGCGGUCGGCGGGUGCGAGGCCGCUCCCAGAGUCGCGGUGCCGCAUCAGGCCCCGUGUCCCUCCGCCCGCCAUGGCGGCGGCGGCGGGCCCGGCGCGGCUGGUGCGGUGCGGGCAGAAGGACGAGCUGUACCGGGCCGCUCUGCGCAGUGGGGCCGGCACGGCGCUGCGGGGGCUGGCGGGUGCCCGGCCGUGGCUGGAGUGGAGGAGGGAGGUGGAGCUGCUCUCCGACGUGGCGUAUUUCGUGCUGACCACGUUGUCAGGUUAUCAGACCCUGGGAGAAGAGUAUGUGAACAUCAUUCAGGUUGACCCAAGCAAGAAGAAGGUGCCUUCUUUCCUUUCUCGGGCCCUCUUUAUUUCCCUGCACACCGUGGUACCCUACUGCCUGGAAAAGGCACUGCUGCACCUGGAACAUGAGCUGCAGAUGGAGGCUGAGGAAUCCAGGACCCCAGAAAACCCCCCAGCAAUUUGCUUUCCCAGGAGGACCUUAAUUCGCACCUGGAUUCAGAAGCAGGUUGGGGAGCUCACAGAGCAGCAGAAGAAAACAGCCUCCCAAGUUGUGUCUGUCCUUAAACAAUCUAUCCCUCUGCUGCACCGGCUCCACCUAGCAGUGUUCUACAUCCAGGGCACCUUCAAUCACAUGUCCAAAAGGAUCACAGGAAUCUCAUACCUGCAUUUUGGAGGACUGCAAGGAGAAGAUCAGAGUAUCCGAUCAGGUUACCGGUUUCUUGGAAUAAUUUCACUCUUCCACCUUCUGCUGACCGUUGGAGUUCAGAUGUACAGCUUCAAACAGAAGCAGAGAGCAAGGCAGGAGUGGAGGCUAUACCGCAACCUCACUCACCAGAAAAGCACAAGCAAGGAGGUGGCUGCCGGGCGCCAGUCACGCUGCACACUGUGCUUGGAGGAGCGGAGGCACAGCACAGCCACCCCCUGCGGGCACCUCUUCUGCUGGGAGUGCAUCACUGCCUGGUGCAACACUAGGGGCACCCAGAGCUGAUCAGCACCUCUAGAGUUGUUGAAAUACAAUGGCAGUUACAUAGGUGAGGUCAGUAAGGCAGAAUGUCCACUGUGCAGAGAGAAAUUCCACCCUCAGAAACUGAUUUACCUACGGCACUACCAAAUGUAAAGGGAACCUCUUCUGUCUCCUGACAAGGGCUCCAGCCCAUGUUCUUAUACUUGUCAUACAACUUGGGUUGGUCCAAGGAAAGGCUUUACUAAACUGGAAACUGCCUGUGCAAGGUGGUACUAUCUUCCCAUGUGACAGAGUAAAGCUAUUUGUGCUUCUACCCUUCUAUAUCUUCUGAUGCAGCUCUUGACCAUAUUAAAAAUGGGUUUCUAAAAUAUGCUUAA